rnacentral:rRNA from 1 species
AGCAGCCGCGGUAAUUCCAGCUCCAAUAGCGUAUAUUAAAGUUGUUGCAGUUAAAAAGCUCGUAGUUGAAUUUCGGGGUCAGUAGGUCGGUCGUGCCACUGGUAUGAACUGGUUUUACUGAUUCCUCCCUCUUGAAGAACUGUAAUGCCAUUAAUUUGGUGUUGCAGGGAAUCAGGACUGUUACUUUGAAAAAAUUAGAGUGUUUAAAGCAGGCUUUAGCUUGAAUACAUUAGCAUGGAAUAAUGAAAUAGGACGUUUGAUCCUAUUUUGUUGGUUUCUAGGAUUGACGUAAUGAUUAAUAGGGAUAGUUGGGGGCAUUAGUAUUCAAUUGUCAGAGGUGAAAUUCUUGGAUUUAUUGAAGACUAACUACUGCGAAAGCAUUUGCCAAGGAUGUUUUCUAUUAAUCAAGAACGAAAGUUAGGGGAUCGAAGACGAUCAGAUACCGUCGUAGUCUUAACCAUAAACUAUGCCGACUAGGGAUCGGAUGAUGUUAAUUUUUAAUGACUCAUUCGGCGCCUUA